GCACAUGAGAUCAGCUGCCUGCAGAAACCGCUUUAAAUGACAGGAUGUUUCCCUUGCCAAAAGCAGAGGAGCAGCCUGGAAAUCUAAUCAAGUCCUAGCCAAACGUCAAAGGAAGCUGAAGCCUUUAUUAUUGCUAUUAAUGAGGGUUCAAAGUGCAUGUGGAGUCCUGGGAGGCCAGGGCAGAGAAAAGAAGGUUCAGGGGGCCUGCAUCUCACAAGGCCACCCCUCGGGAGGCUGCUGGUUGGGGUUCAGCCACCUUGAGAACAUCAAGCUCAGUUCCCCUCCCCUGAUUUCACUGCCACCAACAACCUUCUGGUUGUCUUCAGCUUCCAUGAAAAUUUUCUAUAAGGGAGAGACUCCACCAAUCAGUGCUCCAGUCACCACGCCCGUAUGGUGAAUGCUUAGAAGUUAACACUACAUCUUCUGUUGCCUGGGAGUUUGGUUAGCAUGACUCAGCGUUCCUGAGAAUGCCUGACCCCGUGGGCUCCGACAAACAUGUUUCUGGAUCAUGGUGAUGCCACUAAGCCAUCUCAAAUGAGUCUACAUACCAGCAAGUCUU
rnacentral:lncRNA from 10 species